UAAAAUUCAGUGAAGAAGAGAGUAGUUUAAAUGUAUUUUAUAGAGAGCCAAGGAUGGUGGGAGCUUGGUAAAGAAGUUUAAAUGAAGAGAGCUUUGGAGAAGGCUAUUUGAACAUUUUAUUGAUUAGUAAAGUAGUUGGUUUAAUCUGCCUUAAAGAUAUGAGAUAAUAAGUUUACUUAUUAAUUAGAGUGGUACCGCGAUAAUUUCGCCUCUUAG
rnacentral:ncRNA from 1 species